UACAGAGGGUGCGAGCGUUGUUCGGAAUUACUGGGCGUAAAGCGCGUGCAGGCGGCUUCUUAAGUCCGUCGGUCAAAUGCCGGGGCUCAACCCCGAGCGUGCCGAGGAUACUGGGAGGCUGGAGACAUGUAGAGGCAAGCGGAAUUCCGGGUGUAGCGGUGGAAUGCGUAGAGAUCCGGAAGAACACCGGAGGCGAAGGCGGCUUGCUGGGCAUGGUCUGACGCUGAGGCGCGAAAGCGUGGGGAGCGAACAGG
rnacentral:rRNA from 1 species